AGUCGAACGAGAGAAUUGCUAGCUUGCUAAUAAUUCUCUAGUGGCGCACGGGUGAGUAACACGUGAGUAACCUGCCCCCGAGAGCGGGAUAGCCCUGGGAAACUGGGAUUAAUACCGCAUAGUAUCGAAAGAUUAAAGCAGCAAUGCGCUUGGGGAUGGGCUCGCGGCCUAUUAGUUAGUUGGUGAGGUAACGGCUCACCAAGGCGAUGACGGGUAGCCGGUCUGAGAGGAUGUCCGGCCACACUGGAACUGAGACGCGGUCCAGACACCUACGGGUGGCAGCAGUCGAGAAUCAUUCACAAUGGGGGAAACCCUGAUGGUGCGACGCCGCGUGGGGGAAUGAAGGUCUUCGGAUUGUAAACCCCUGUCAUGUGGGAGCAAAUUAAAAAGAUAGUACCACAAGAGGAAGAGACGGCUAACUCUGUGCCAGCAGCCGCGGUAAUACAGAGGUCUCAAGCGUUGUUCGGAAUCACUGGGCGUAAAGCGUGCGUAGGCUGUUUCGUAAGUCGUGUGUGAAAGGCGCGGGCUCAACCCGCGGACGGCACAUGAUACUGCGAGACUAGAGUAAUGGAGGGGGAACCGGAAUUCUCGGUGUAGCAGUGAAAUGCGUAGAUAUCGAGAGGAACACUCGUGGCGAAGGCGGGUUCCUGGACAUUAACUGACGCUGAGGCACGAAGGCCAGGGGAGCGAAAGGGAUUAGAUACCCCUGUAGUCCUGGCAGUAAACGGUGCACGCUUGG
rnacentral:rRNA from 1 species